rnacentral:lncRNA from 1 species
ACAGCUUGUCAGCCCCGCCUGGGCAGAAUGGGUGAGGGGAAGAGAAGGGAAAGGAAGGCUUGUGGCUUAUGUGUUCCUCCUGUCCCCUCCCUCCAAACUGCUGGGCAGUGGCUGCAUCUCAUACCUGCACUGCCUGAGCUGGCUGGGUCCAGUUCUCACAGGUGCCUCCUCCUCUUCUUCAGGUUCCCAGGCCUCAAUCUCCAUCACUGGGCCUCUUGGAAAGGAAUGUGCCUGUGGAGGAAAUGGAAUGAGUAGGUGCCUCUCUGUCUCCUCAGAGGAGCAGCACGGGUCCCAAGGCCCAGCCUCUGUCCCUUUUCCAGGGGAUGCCAUCCUAGUCCCCUGAAUCUUCUGUCCUGGCCUGAUGCACUCCAGCGGCCCUGUAGGCCGGCACCGGCAACUGGUCUUGGUUCUGGAGGGGGGAACUCUACCUCAUCCCCUUUGCCCUCCUGAAGGGCAGCUCCUCCAACGAGUACCUGUAUGAACGCUUCACCCUCAUUGCUGUGCCUGCCAUCCGCUCACUUGGCCCAUACUCGAAGGGUCACCUGAGGAAGAGCCCACCCACGUACUCCAGCUCUACAUCCAUGGCGGCUGUCAUCGGCAACCCCAAACUCCCAUCAGCAGUGAUGGACAGGUGGCUGUGGGGGCCUAUGCCAUCAGCUGAGGAGGAAGCCUAUAUGGUGUCUGAGCUGCUGGGCUGCCAGCCCCUGGUGGGC